UUAAACGGCCGCGGUACCCUAACCGUGCAAAGGUAGCAUAAUCAUUUGUCUAUUAAUUGUAGACCAGUAUGAAAGGCAAAAUGAGGGUCUAACUGUCUCUUAUAGUUAAUCAAUUAAACUGAUCUCCUAGUAAAAAAGCUAGUAUAUAACCAUAAGACCAGAAGACCCUGUGAAGCUUAAACUAAACUAUUAAACUAAAUAAUAACUACUUUCGGUUGGGGCGACCUUGGAAAAAAAAAGAACUUCCAAAUACCAGUGAUUAUAAAUCACCCCAGGCCCACAAGCCACACUUAGACCCAGUCUAACUGAUAAAUGAACCAAGUUACUCCAGGGAUAACAGCGCUAUCUUCUUCAAGAGUCCAUAUCAAAAAGAAGGUUUACGACCUCGAUGUUGGAUCAGGACAUCCUAAUGGUGUAGCCGCUA
rnacentral:rRNA from 1 species